ACAAGUAUGGUCUAGUGGUUUGAGCAUUGGAAUAUGACUCUGGAGAUCAGGGUUCAAAUCCCUACUUGGC